AUCAACGCUGGCGGCGUGCCUCAGACAUGCAAGUCGAACGAUUAAAGCUCUCUUCGGAGAGUGCAAUAAAGUGGCGCACGGGUGAGUAACACGUAAGUAAUCUACCCUCGAGUGGGGAAAUAACGUCCGGAAAACGGACGCUAAUACCGCAUAAUGCAGCGGCCACCGCAAGGUGACAGUUGUUAAAGAUUUAUUCGCUUGAGGAGGAGCUUGCGGCAGAUUAGCUAGUUGGUAAGGUUAAUGGCUUACCAAGGCAACGAUCUGUAGCCGGUCUAAGAGGACGGUCGGGUCACACUGACACUGAAUAACGGGUCAGACUCCUACGGGAGGCAGCAGUCGGGAAUUUUGGGCAAUGGGCGAAAGCCUGACCCAGCAACGCCGCGUGAAGGAUGAAGUAUUUCGGUAUGUAAACUUCGAAAGAAUGGGAAGAAAUUAAUGACGGUACCAUUCAUAAGCUCCGGCUAACUACGUGCCAGCAGCCGCGGUAAUACGUAGGGAGCAAGCGUUGUUUCGGAUUUACUGGGCGUAAAGGGGCGCGUAGGCGGCAUGACAAGUCACUUGUGAAAAUCUUCGGGCUUAACCCGGAACGGCCAAGUGAUACUGUCGCGCUAGAGUGCGGAAGGGGCAAUCGGGAUUCUCGGUGUAGCGGUGAAAUGCGUAGAUAUCGAGAGGGAACACCUGAGGUGAAGACGGGUUGCUGGGGCCGACACUGACGCUGAGUGCCGCGAAAGCCAGGGGAGGCAAACGGGAUUAGAUACCCCGGUAGUCCUGGCCCUAAACGAUGAAUACUUGGUGUCUGGAGUAAAUAGUGCUCCGGGGUGCCGUCGCUAACGUUUUUUAGUAUUCCCGCCUGGGGAGUACGCUCGCAAGAGUGAAAACUCAAAGGAAUUGGACGGGGACCCGCACAAGCGGUGGAGCAUGUGGUUUAAUUCGACGGCAAACGCGAAAGAACCUUACCUAGGCUAGAAUGUGAGGGAAAGAAAGGGUAAUACCGAUCGUCCGGUUUUCCGGACCCAAAAACAAGGUGCUGCAUGGCUGUCGUCAGCCUCGUGUCGUGAGAUGUUGGGUUAAGUCCCGCAACGAGCGCAACCCUUAUCGAUAGUUGCCAUCAUUAAGUUGGGAACUCUAUCGAGACUUGCCGUUGAUAAAACAGAGGAAGGUGGGGGAUGAUGUCAAGUCAUCAUGGCCUUUAUGCUUAGGGCUACACACGUGCUACAAUGGCCGGUACAAAAACGUCGCGAACCCCGUAAGGGGGAAGCUAAUCGCAAAAAAACCGGUCUCAGUUCGGAUUGGAGUCUGCAACUCGACUCCAUGAAGUUGGAAUCGCUAGUAAAUCGCAAAUCAGCAUGUUUGCGGUGAAUACGUUCCCGGGUCUUGUACACACCGCCCGUCACAUCACGAAAGUAGGUUUGUACUAGAAGUAGCUGGGCCAACUCGCAAGAGAGGCAGGUUACCACGGUAUGAUCUAUGAUUGGGGUG
rnacentral:rRNA from 1 species